rnacentral:lncRNA from 1 species
AUGAAAGAUAAUGAUUUUCGAAACUUAGACGAAAACAUUAAAAAAGAGGUUUUACCACUUUCGACAGUUCAAAGGAACGAGGUGCUUGCCGAUUUGUAUUAUUUGCUAGCACCUUACAUCGGAGGCAAGUCUGGAGCAGGAGAUCAGGAAAAAGUAUACAAAAAUGAAGCCGCCGAAAACGAAGUCAAGCAUACCUCGCAAGUAGACGUAAAAGUUUUGAAAAGUCGCACGGACGCCAACAAACAGACCGGGACAAAAUUUUUUGACAAUCGCCCGAAUAUGACAGACCUUCUCAAUAACAUCCGGAAUAUAACUAAAAGCAAACAAGAUCAAUCGUCAGUUAGGUCGGUUGCUGCUAGAUUUCUGCUGGAUCCCUUCAAUACCUUUAGAGAGCAGGACAUUUAUUAUGGACCAACAGCAACUUAUGGUUGUAAGGAAACAUACUCGCACUCUGCGGCAAAAGAGAAUACACUGGGUGCAAAUCAGAGAACAAGUGAGUUAACGGCAAAGCAAAUUAGUAGAUUUGAUGAUAGCAAUUUGCAAGCUCAUAACUCACAGGAUGAGAGCAGCUUUACGAAGACGGGUCGGAAAAUGAACCGAAGUGUAAUAAUUAGAAAACGCACCAACUCAAUGGCAGAUAAUUCAAGCAAACCUGUAAGUAAAGUCCCAUUAUCCUCUCCUAAGAGCUCAAACAAAAAUUCCGACUUUCUGGGUGUUGGAGAGAGGUCUAGAGGAAAAACGUAUCAAAACAACAAUUCUAAACAAGAAACUCAUGAUGGAUCUAGAGAGGAGCAUUCUGAAGGGGAAAAAAUAGACUUCAAAACUGAGGAGAUCACAGCUUUGACUGCUCGAAUUGUUGCGGAUAUUGUUAAGGAAAUCGACAAGAGAUACAGGCAUGAGUGUGAAUCUAAGCUUAGCAAAGGCGCAACCUUCACUAAGCAAAUGGAAGAUCAAAGGGAGUUUUCAAAUCCGGAUCUUUGCUCGAAUUCAAGUAAAAGAGACCAGAACAAUUCAAAAUUUUCUGAUCAAAUAGACAAAGGAAAAAAGGAGGAAUACAAUACUUUGAAAAGUUUAAAUUUUCCUGUCGUUACCACAAAAUCAAUUACAAAACCAGCUGGAGUCCCUUUGUACAAGAUACCAAACACAGAGAUCUAUAUCUACGAUUUGUAUUCUGCGAACAAAUCUGCUCAUGCGCAGAUGAAAAUCACCGAUCAGAGUGAUCUGGCGUCGAUUCUUGAUCAACUGGUUGCCACCGAUUCACCAGAUGGCAAUUAUAAAAACAGACUGGGUGAGUCUGUUCUGGCUAUUGACCCUAAUGAAAGCUUCCUGCAUCAGAGUAUAUUCGACAAGAACCUUCUCCCAGAUUUUUUUGAUUCAUUAAUUCAAUCUAAGUCGGAAGCAGCGACAGAAAGAGGAGCCUCUAAAUUCACAGAUAUUGAUUCACCGAUUACUUAUACAUCUGAUCCAAGUCAAGUCAUCCCUGAAAUUGAGAUUCACAUACGAACAGUCCCAUUAGGUUCAAAAAACGCAUCAAAUGUUGAUCUACCCCACAAAAAACCUAUUCUCAGCAGAAGAGACUCGUUUCCUGACAUAUUGCUGUUCAAUGGGCGAAGCCAGAAGAAUUCAAAACCAACAUCAAAAACACCUUAUCAACGCAAAGUAAUAGGUGCAAGCCAGCACCCAGCCAAAAAAAAUACAGUCCUGAACCAACAGCCCAAAUUAGAUUCUGAUGAUCCACAGGCAUCAAAAAAAGUUCGAAGUUUCUUUGGACUGAAAGCAAGAUAA